rnacentral:rRNA from 1 species
AUACGGAGGCCCCAAGCGUUACCCGGAAUCACUGGGCGUAAAGGGUGUGUAGGUGGCGUAGUUAGUCUUGCGUUAAAGACCCCGGCUCAACCGGGGAGAUGCGCAGGAAACGGCUAUGCUAGAGGGCGAGAGAGGUGUACGGAACUCAUGGUGUAGGGGUGGAAUCCGUUGAUAUCAUGGGGAACACCAAUAGCGAAGGCAGUACACUGGCUCGUUCCUGACGCUGAGACACGAAAGCGUGGGUAGCGAACGGGAUUAGAUACCCCAGUAGUCC